UGACAUGCCUAGAAUGCCCUCUCCACAC
rnacentral:piRNA from 1 species